rnacentral:sRNA from 1 species
UUAACACUACAACCAGAUGGCGCGGCUC